rnacentral:tRNA from 1 species
GGGCAGGUGGCGAAACUGGUAGACGCACCACGCUUAGGACGUGGCCCCGCAAGGGAUUGGAGGUUCGAGUCCUCUCCUGCCCA